rnacentral:rRNA from 1 species
GACGAACGCUGGCGGCGUGCCUAAUACAUGCAAGUUGAACGCUUCUUUCUUAUCGAACUUCGGUUCACCAAGAAAGAGGAGUAGCGAACGGGUGAGUAACACGUGGGUAACCUGCCCAUCAGCGGGGGAUAACACUUGGAAACAGGUGCUAAUACCGCAUAAUGCUUUUUCUCACAUGAGAGAAAGCUGAAAGGCGCUUUUGCGUCACUGAUGGAUGGACCCGCGGUGCAUUAGCUAGUUGGUAGGGUAACGGCCUACCAAGGCAACGAUGCAUAGCCGACCUGAGAGGGUGAUCGGCCACACUGGGACUGAGACACGGCCCAGACUCCUACGGGAGGCAGCAGUAGGGAAUCUUCGGCAAUGGACGAAAGUCUGACCGAGCAACGCCGCGUGAGUGAAGAAGGUUUUCGGAUCGUAAAAACUCUGUUGUUAGAGAAGGAACC